UACGUAGGGGGCAAGCGUUGUCCGGAAUCAUUGGGCGUAAAGCGCGUGUAGGCGGCUGAGUAAGUCUGCUCUGAAAGCCCGGGGCUCAACCCCGGGAGGCGGGUGGAUACUGCUCAGCUCGAGUCCGGAAGAGGAGUGUGGAAUUCCUGGUGUAGCGGUGAAAUGCGCAGAUAUCAGGAAGAACACCAAUGGCGAAGGCAGCUCUCUGGGACGGUACUGACGCUGAGACGCGAAAGCGUGGGGAGCGAACAGG
rnacentral:rRNA from 1 species